rfam:Smittium mucronatum strain ALG-7-W6 scaffold-23418, whole genome shotgun sequence.
GGCCUGAUGGUCUAGCGGUAUGAUUCUCGCUUUGGGUGCGAGAGGUCCCGGGUUCAAUCCCCGGUCAGGCCC